GAUGAACGCUGGCGGCGUGCCUAAUACAUGCAAGUCGAGCGAACGGACGAGAAGCUUGCUUCUCUGAUGUUAGCGGCGGACGGGUGAGUAACACGUGGAUAACCUACCUAUAAGACUGGGAUAACUUCGGGAAACCGGAGCUAAUACCGGAUGAUAUUUUGAACCGCAUGGUUCAAAAGUGAAAGACGGUCUUGCUGUCACUUAUAGAUGGAUCCGCGCUGCAUUAGCUAGUUGGUAAGGUAACGGCUUACCAAGGCAACGAUGCAUAGCCGACCUGAGAGGGUGAUCGGCCACACUGGAACUGAGACACGGUCCAGACUCCUACGGGAGGCAGCAGUAGGGAAUCUUCCGCAAUGGGCGAAAGCCUGACGGAGCAACGCCGCGUGAGUGAUGAAGGUCUUCGGAUCGUAAAACUCUGUUAUUAGGGAAGAACAUAUGUGUAAGUAACUGUGCACAUCUUGACGGUACCUAAUCAGAGAGCCACGGCUAACUAC
rnacentral:rRNA from 1 species